rnacentral:misc_RNA from 1 species
UUUCCGUAGGUGAACCUGCGGAAGGAUCAUUAAUGAGGGCGUAUGGGCUAAAAACCCAAACGAACCCCCAAUCCUUUGCUUACUGUCCCUCUUGUGGUUUGCCUGGGCGUGGCUAAAUCGUAACCUUUUUAGGUUUCGAACAGCUUUUUAUCGCCCAGAAGAUUACCAAAAUUAAAACAUUCUAGUAAUGAUGUGUCUGAGUGAAAUAUAAAGAAGCAAAACUUUCAACAACGGAUCUCUUGGUUCCGGCAUCGAUGAAGAACGCAGCGAAAUGCGAUAAGUAAUGUGGACCGCAGUACUCAGCGACUCAUCGAAUCUUUGAACGCAUAUUGCGCCCCUUGGUAUCCCCUAUGGGCACACCUGACCGAGCGUCAUAGUGGUCAAUCAGGAAACAGCUAGCACAACUUGGUUAUGGGUUUAAUUUACUCUAUGUGGACGCCUCAAAGUUAUUGGCGGUACAAUUAGGUGUUCCAGUGUAGUUAAACACUAGAGUCACUGUAGAAAUGCUUAUUUGUACCUAUUUCAAAACUUUUUUAGCAUCUACCAAAGUUUCUGCUGGCAGAAACUUAGUGGAUGUUCGCUAAAAUGACCGCGGAUCAGGUGAGGAUACCCGCUGAAUUUAA